rnacentral:rRNA from 1 species
AUGAUUCACAUCAUAAAUAUGGUUUCUAGAGUUUGGAGCCUUGGGAAAAUCUUGUCGUCUCUGAUGGGUUGGAGUUUGGUGGUGCAAAACUGCAAAUCUUUUUGUCUUGUUCGGUUCAAGCAAUUGUGUCAUCAUAUUAUUUCGGUCUAUGCUUCCAGGCCGGAACAUCUAUCAGUCAGUCAAUGGUAUGAACUCAAGUUAUCUUUGCUGCUGCUACUAAGAACUUGCCGUAAUAGCUCGUACAUACAGGAAGGUGCAUGUUUGGGAAUUUUUGUCAGAAAAGACCACAUACGUUUUCAGAUUGACAAAAAAGACCACUUGCUCAUCGUAUUGACAGAAGAGACCAGCUAUGCCGUGGCGGCAGGCCCGGCAGCCGACGCGUGGCACCUGCCGCCACAGACCACGGCGGCAGGGCUUGCCGCCACAGCGAUAUCCUGCACUGGAGUGAUUUAA